UGCACACACCGCCCGUCAAGUCAUGAAAGUCGGUAACACCUGAAGCCGGUGGCCUAACCCCUUGUGGGAGGGAGCUGUCGAAGGUGGGAUCGGUAAUUAGGACUAAGUCGUAACAAGGUAGCCGUACCGGAAGGUGCGGCUGGAUCACCUCC
rnacentral:rRNA from 1 species